AUUAGAGCUGCAUGAUCAAAGUAUCAGAGGUGAUUCUUGCAGAAGAAAAUGAGCUGUGUGCAUUCUCAUCACAGAGAAAUACGAGUCCCGUUUCUUCUGACUUCUCAUACAAAUACUUAUGGUUUUGACUGAAAGCAUUGAUUCCUGAAGAUGAGGGUGCCCUGCCAGCAUUCAUGGGGUCUCUGCUGCUGACUACAUUGAGAAUUGGAAAAAUACAUUACUGUUCCAUUUCUUUUACAACUACUUUCACGG